AUUGAACGCUGGCGGCAGGCCUAACACAUGCAAGUCGAGCGGCAGCGGAAAGUAGCUUGCUACUUUGCCGGCGAGCGGCGGACGGGUGAGUAAUGUCUGGGAAACUGCCUGAUGGAGGGGGAUAACUACUGGAAACGGUAGCUAAUACCGCAUAAUGUCGCAAGACCAAAGAGGGGGACCUUCGGGCCUCUUGCCAUCAGAUGUGCCCAGAUGGGAUUAGCUAGUAGGUGGGGUAACGGCUCACCUAGGCGACGAUCCCUAGCUGGUCUGAGAGGAUGACCAGCCACACUGGAACUGAGACACGGUCCAGACUCCUACGGGAGGCAGCAGUGGGGAAUAUUGCACAAUGGCGCAAGCCUGAUGCAGCCAUGCCGCGUGUAUGAAGAAGGCCUUCGGGUUGUAAAGUACUUUCAGCGGGGAGGAAGGUGUUGUGGUUAAUAACCACAGCAAUUGACGUUACCCGCAGAAGAAGCACCGGCUAAUUCCGUGCCAGCCGCCGCAGUAA
rnacentral:rRNA from 1 species